GUAGCUUAUUCCAGUACUCGACUCCUCAAAGACUGUGCUUUCUCUGUCCAAUCAAAGUGUCUUAGAACAUUCGCUCCUCUCUGUGGAAAUUGUAACGAUCAAUAAAUUCGUUUUUAUGGCUUUCGAUGCUGUGAUGUGUUGUAAAUUGAUUUUAUAGCGCCAACUGUCCAUUAUGGGGCGAUGGCCAUGGCUAUGAGAGUGCGUUAUAAAGUGUCGGACGAGCGCAGUCGAGGGCACAUUCGAUGUAGGAAAACUGUCCCAGCAAUAUGCACUGGACGCUGCUCAUCGGAGGUAUGGCUGUGAUCCUCAGUCUGAUCGGAAGUAGAGUCUGGGUGUCUGGUGCCGAGAAGUCUACCCUCUAUCCCUGGGAAAAGGAGCCAGUGACAAAGCACAGCAAGCCCUUUAGGGUAUCUGGAGAUAUCUAAAGCUCUGUGAAGGGUCUCCUUGGGUUGAUAUGAAAAGUAUUAUAUUAUAUUUGUUCUUGAAAUAAAUGCAAUUACAAAACCAUUA